rnacentral:rRNA from 1 species
GGAAUUUUGCGCAAUGGGGGAAACCCUGACGCAGCGACGCCGCGUGGGCGAUGAAGGCCUUCGGGUCGUAAAGCCCUGUCGAGUGGGACGAAACGUCUGAGCUCUAACAUAGCUCAGGCUUGACGGUACCGCUGGAGGAAGCCCCGGCCAACUCCGUGCCAGCAGCCGCGGUAAUCCGGGGGGGGCGAGCGUUAUUCGGAAUUAUUGGGCGUAAAGGGCGUGUAGGCGGCCUCGUAUGUCUUCUGUGAAAGCCCUCGGCUCAACCGAGGAACUGCAGGAGAAACUGCAAGGCUCGAGUCCGGGAGAGGAAAGCGGAAUUCCCAGUGUAGCGGUGAAAUGCGUAGAUAUUGGGAGGAACACCAGUGGCGAAGGCGGCUUUCUGGACCGGUACUGACGCUGAGACGCGAAAGCUAGGGGAGCGAA